AUGCCUUAUAUAUAUAUGAAUAAGGAAAAUAAUGAGUCGGGGUGACGCCGGAGUUCUCACUGCUAAUGUGAGAAGAAUUUUUGA
rnacentral:snRNA from 1 species